UAAAGCAGGGCUGGAAAGAUGGAGUUAAUUAUCCAGUGAGCUACAUUUAAACCGAGACCAGGAGGGGCUGAUUUGUUUUGGCGCAGGGAACUGAGAAGGAGACGAGCCACCGAGGUCUCCUCGCUCCUCUUUGGUGGCUCUUUAACUUGUCCUUGCUGUCGCCAGCCCGGGGACCGGCGUCCUUUGGCCCGGGAGGGGGAGCCCCCGGCUGGACCCCCGAACCGUGCCCGCCCGGCCCGUGGCCGCAGCUCUGGGAAUCUCUGUGCGAGCCGUGCAUGGGAGCAGGGGAUUUCAGGGGGUCCAGAGGCAAUUCUUUCCAUGUUUGUUUGCUUUUUUCCCCCAGAAGUUAGAUAAAUUCUCGUCCGUGCGGCUCGCCGGUGCCUGUGCUCUCAGCAGGAUCCUGUUGGAUCUUCAUCUGGAAUGAUUCUGGAGGUGUUGACUGCAGGGAAGAAGUUACCAGUUUCCCACGUAUCACAACUGACAGUGAAGUUCCUUCAGUUCUGGGAGAUUUCCAACAAUUCCACUUAACUCCCAAAGCACAGCUGUGAAUGCACGUGGGGCUGCACUUCUUGAGAUUCCAGCCCAGAGAUUUCUGCAGCCAGAGAUCACCACAACAGGGGAUGCAGCCUGGAAGGAGACCUCUGCUUUCCAAGCUUGCUGCCUGGUGGAAGAGCUUGUGUACAGCCCGACCCCACCUGUGUACAGCCUCCCUUCAGGAAGGUGUAGAGAGCAAUAAGGUCACCUCUGAGCCUCCUCUUCUCCAGGAUGAACAACCCCAGUUCCUUCAAACGUUCCUCACAGGGCUUGUGUUCCAAGCCCCUCACCAGC